rnacentral:rRNA from 1 species
CAGUCGCCGCGGUAAAACGGAGGGUGCAAGCGUUAAUCGGAAUUACUGGGCGUAAAGCGCACGCAGGCGGUCUGUCAAGUCAGAUGUGAAAUCCCCGGGCUUAACCUGGGAACUGCAUUUGAAACUGGCAGGCUAGAGUCUUGUAGAGGGGGGUGGAAUUCCAGGUGUAGCGGUGAAAUGCGUAGAGAUCUGGAGGAAUACCGGUGGCGAAGGCGGCCCCCUGGACAAAGACUGACGCUCAGGUGCGAAAGCGUGGGGAGCAAACAGGAUUAGAGACCCGCGUAGUCCCUGUCUCUUAUAC